rnacentral:rRNA from 1 species
UACGUAGGUGGCAAGCGUUGUCCGGAUUUACUGGGUGUAAAGGGCGUGUAGACGGGAUUGUAAGUCAGAUGUGAAAUUCCCAUGCUCAACGUGGGCGCUGCAUCUGAAACUAUAGUUCUUGAGUGUCGGAGAGGAAAGCGGAAUUCCUAGUGUAGCGGUGAAAUGCGCAGAUAUUAGGAGGAACACCGGUGGCGAAGGCGGCUUUCUGGACGAUAACUGACGUUGAGGCGCGAAAGCGUGGGGAG